GGCCUGCGCAUGCGCGCGCCCCAGGGCCCAGCCCUGUUCCUGCUCCGGCUCCUGCGGGGAUGGAUGCUUCACGCAGUAAGCGAGUAAGCGAGCCCUGGAGACCGGGGCCCUGGGUGUGCGGUCGGCUCAGUGCCACGCGGUGAGAUAGGCAUGGUUAUCAACCCACGCCAAGGCGGUUGUGUACCUGGCAUAGAAAACACUGCUGUUGAAUGUUGUUUCCAUAGUCAUUCGCCAGCGUCCACUGAUGAGAGGUGCCACCACGGACACCCGGCCUUGCUCCGUCGAAGCUUUGGUCCAUUAGGACCAAAGUCAGGCCCCAGCGGGCCUCCCUGCCAUUCCUGGACGGCCUCGCGUCCUCCCAGAGCCUGACCUUCUCUUAUCUCUGCAGCCUAAGUCGCGGAAGCGUAGACACCCGGCUUUUCCCGCGUGCUCUAUCGGGCUCCCCUGGACACGGAGGGUGGAGCAGAAAGAGCAGAGGGGCCGGUGGGAGCCAUGGGGAGUCCGCCUAGCUCCAGAGGUAAGGGCGAGAAUGGCUUCAUCCUCCCCCCUUCAUCCUCCAGGCCAGCCUCGGACCCAGCAGCAUCCUGCCCAGGGGGCACCCCCACCUCCCUGGAUGCCAGCCAGAGCUGGAGAAUAUUCACGACCCAGAGGAGGGCCUGGACUCCAGAGAAGGGACCCCCUUUCACAGUGCACUCUGUGUCUGUGUGGAUCUGAUUUCAUGUCUAGUGACCACUAUUUUUAUCCUCCCAAUUCCUAGGACACCUUACCUGGAUCCGCCUUUGUAGCCUCCUCCUGGCUCUGGGGGCUGUCCUGUGGGGUCCGAGUAGCUGAAAGACAGCCCCUCCAUGUGAGGAAGCCCCCAACUGGGGAAAACCCCCUCGUGGACUCAUUCCUGUCCCUGCAUGUGGCCUUCACCUGACUGUCUGCAUUGAGGCAUCCUCUGCCAAGAGCAAUUUCAAAGUGGCAGGUCUUGGGAGAUGGGGUGCUGUAUUUGGGAGUAGGGGCGGGGAAGGGUUGAGGUGCCCUGGGAAAACUGGAGGAAGACAUUUUUAAUGCUCUUAUGAGGCUGGGAGCAGAGGCCAAGAGGGGCAGAGCAGAGCAGGGGUGAGGAGAAUGAGGCACUGGCCUGGGCACAGAAUUGAAGGGGCACCAAAAAUCGCAAUCAUCAAGGGAAAUCGUAUUUUAAUGCCAUAUUUUAAAACUCAAAAUUAACAAAAGGAAUCCAUGAUGAACGAACUAUCAACAUUUCAAGUAAAGACAGGAUCUGUUUCAUGGAUAUCUCCUUUUGCCUCAGGGUCCAAUAUGGAACGGCAUAGUUGAUUCUGUCUUUAUUUAAAAUUUUUGGCGGCGCGCGGUGGCUCAAGCCUGUAAUCCCAGCACUUUGGGAGGCCGAGGCGGGUGGAUCACGAGGUCAGGAGAUCGAGACCAUCCUGGCUAACACGGUGAAACGCCGUCUGUACUAAAAGUACAAAAAAAUUAGCCGGACGUGGUGGCGGGAGCCUGUAGUCCCAGCUACUCCGGAGGCUGAGGCAGGAGAAUGGUGUGAACCCGGGAGGUGGAGCUUGCAGUGAGCCGAGAUGGCGCCACUGCACUCCAGCCUGGGUGACAGAGCGAGACUCCAUCUCAAAAAAAAAUGAUAAUAAAUAAAAUAAAAUUUUGAUUUUUUGUUCAUCGUGGAUUUUUUUCCCCAUUACUUUUUGCAUUAACAUUAUUUAUCUUGAAUUCUGGCUGCUCUUAAAUUCUGCACCCAAGGCAAGUGGGCUUCACUCUAGUCCCAUUCCGGGAGGACGGUGGAUUCGUGAGCAUUCGGGAGACCACCACAGGACCCUUAAGCUGCUUCAUUGCGCAGUGGGAUCCCCUGUAACCCCAGACUUCAGUAAUAAUCCCACACAGAAAGGUCUUACGUGAGUGUUUUCUUGUGAAAAUUAAAGGAAAGUGCUGCUUUCAACAUCUGCCACAUUUGCAAGAAGAGCAAAGGUGGCCCAUUUGAGACCACCCUUGAACUAAACCAUCCAGUGAGCCCCUGAGGUCGGGACAGAAGUGGCCAUGACCUUCCUCAAGCAGGGACUGUGGUGGAGCCCACCUUAUCCAGCACAAGGUGGCCUGCUGACUUCUGGUGACAGUGAUGCCAACUUCCUGGCUGUCCAAGGUUCAAAUCUUGGUCUUAAUCCUCCUGGCCUUCUCUCAUCAAUGGCCAGAGCCACCCUAGCUAACAAGGUGCCCAGGGACUCCGGGGUGGGAGAAGUCCAGCUUCUUCUUAGCUGAGGACAUUUGAGUCUCGUCACAGCCCCCAAAAGAAUACUCAUUUUUGUAGCUGGAGGGCCUGGCCUCUGUCUAUCUUUGCUUUUCCAGAAGCUGACAAGUACCUGCCGGAAAAACUGCCUCUUUUCCCUCCCGUGCUUGGAGCAGGCAUUGCUGACAGAUCACAGCUGCUGGGCCCAAAGGUCCCUUUGCACGCGGGACUUCAGGAAGUUGCUGCUGACCUAUGGGAGUUGGUGCAGAAAGAUGAAAUUUGUUAUCCUUGGCUGUAUCAACUCUCUCUCCUCUCCUUGGUGGUGAUAGUUUUGUUCUUAAAAGCCUCUUGUGAGAGAAUUUGUGGAUGAAGAACCUGUAAGAUCACAAGUGAAACAAUUUAUUGAUGUCAAUAGAUUUAUACACGUUCAUUAAGAAUCAAAACUAAACUAAAACAUCAGUCUGACUAAAGAGACCACCACAGAUAUUUCAUAUGCUGUACAUCAGUAACAAAGGGUACCAAAUAGUUAAUAUCCAUGUACUAGUCACAUGAGAAAUGUUUUAGGGUCAUUGACCAGUGUAGUCAGUACAGUGGUCCCAUGGUAUUUGUGGGGGAUUGGUUCCAGGAAUCUCUUGGACACCAACUCCGUGGAUGAUCAGACAAUAUAAAAUGUGGGUCAGGUGCGGUGGCUCAUACCUGUAAUCCCAGCAUUUUGCGAGAAUCACUUGAGGCCAGUUCAAGAUCAGCCUGUGCAACAUAGCAAGACUCCACCUCUAAAAAAAAAAAAAAAAAAAAAA
ensembl:lncRNA novel transcript